rnacentral:rRNA from 1 species
UACGAGGGGGGCGAGCGUUGUUCGGAAUUACUGGGCGUAAAGCGUGCGCAGGCGGUUCGGAAAGAAAGAUGUGAAAUCCCAGAGCUUAACUUUGGAACUGCAUUUUUAACUACCGGGCUAGAGUGUGUCAGAGGGAGGUGGAAUUCCGCGUGUAGCAGUGAAAUGCGUAGAUAUGCGGAGGAACACCGAUGGCGAAGGCAGCCUCCUGGGAUAACACUGACGCUCAUGCACGAAAGCGUGGGGAGCAAACAGG